rnacentral:rRNA from 1 species
CCUACGGGCGGCUGCAGUGGGGAAUAUUGCACAAUGGGGGAAACCCUGAUGCAGCGACGCCGCGUGAGUGAAGAAGUAUCUCGGUACGUAAAGCUCUAUCAGCAGGGAAGAUAAUGACGGUACCUGACCAAGAAGCCCCGGCUAACUACGUGCCAGCAGCCGCGGUAAUACGUAGGGGGCAAGCGUUAUCCGGAUUUACUGGGUGUAAAGGGAGCGUAGACGGCAGCACAAGUCUGGAGUGAAAUCCCGGGGCUUAACCCCGGAACUGCUUUGGAAACUGUGCGGCUGGAGUGCAGGAGGGGUAAGCGGAAUUCCUAGUGUAGCGGUGAAAUGCGUAGAUAUGUGGAAGAACACCGAUGGCGAAGGCAGCCUCCUGGGACGCAACUGACGCUCAUACACGAAAGCGUGGGGAGCAAACAGGAUUAGAUACCCGAGUAGUC